rnacentral:rRNA from 1 species
AGUGAACGCUGGCGGUAGGCCUAACACAUGCAGGUCGAACGGCAGCGCAGUAAGAGCUUGCUCUUACGGGUGGCGAGUGGCGGACGGGUGAGGAAUACAUCGGAAUCUACUUUUUCGUGGGGGAUAACGUAGGGAAACUUACGCUAAUACCGCAUACGACCUACGGGUGAAAGCAGGGGAUCUUCGGACCUUGCGCGAUUGAAUGAGCCGAUGUCGGAUUAGCUAGUUGGCGGGGUAAAGGCCCACCAAGGCGACGAUCCGUAGCUGGUCUGAGAGGAUGAUCAGCCACACUGGAACUGAGACACGUUCCAGACUCCUACGGGAGGCAGCAGUGGGGAAUAUUGGACAAUGGGCGCAAGCCUGAUCCAGCCAUACCGCGUGGGUGAAGAAGGCCUUCGGGUUGUAAAGCCCUUUUGUUGGGAAAGAAAAGCAGCAGGUUAAUACCCCGCUGUUCUGACGGUACCCAAAGAAUAAGCACCGGCUAACUUCGUG